rnacentral:rRNA from 1 species
GAUUGAACGCUGGCGGCAUGCCUUACACAUGCAAGUCGAACGGCAGCACGGGUGCUUGCACCUGGUGGCGAGUGGCGAACGGGUGAGUAAUACAUCGGAACAUGUCCUGUAGUGGGGGAUAGCCCGGCGAAAGCCGGAUUAAUACCGCAUACGAUCUACGGAUGAAAGCGGGGGACCUUCGGGCCUCGCGCUAUAGGGUUGGCCGAUGGCUGAUUAGCUAGUUGGUGGGGUAAAGGCCUACCAAGGCGACGAUCAGUAGCUGGUCUGAGAGGACGACCAGCCACACUGGGACUGAGACACGGCCCAGACUCCUACGGGAGGCAGCAGUGGGGAAUUUUGGACAAUGGGCGAAAGCCUGAUCCAGCAAUGCCGCGUGUGUGAAGAAGGCCUUCGGGUUGUAAAGCACUUUUGUCCGGAAAGAAAUCCUUGGCUCUAAUACAGUCGGGGGAUGACGGUACCGGAAGAAUAAGCACCGGCUAACUACGUGCCAGCAGCCGCGGUAAUACGUAGGGUGCGAGCGUUAAUCGGAAUUACUGGGCGUAAAGCGUGCGCAGGCGGUUUGCUAAGACCGAUGUGAAAUCCCCGGGCUCAACCUGGGAACUGCAUUGGUGACUGGCAGGCUAGAGUAUGGCGGAGGGGGGUAGAAUUCCACGUGUAGCAGUGAAAUGCGUAGAGAUGUGGAGGAAUACCGAUGGCGAAGGCAGCCCCCUGGGCCAAUACUGACGCUCAUGCACGAAAGCGUGGGGGAGCAAACAGGAUUAGAUACCCUGGUAGUCCACGCCCUAAACGAUGUCAACUAGUUGUUGGGGAUUCAUUUCCUUAGUAACGUAGCUAACGCGUGAAGUUGACCGCCUGGGGAGUACGGUCGCAAGAUUAAAACUCAAAGGAAUUGACGGGGACCCGCACAAGCGGUGGAUGAUGUGGAUUAAUUCGAUGCAACGCGAAAAACCUUACCUACCCUUGACAUGGUCGGAAUCCCGCUGAGAGGUGGGAGUGCUCGAAAGAGAACCGGCGCACAGGUGCUGCAUGGCUGUCGUCAGCUCGUGUCGUGAGAUGUUGGGUUAAGUCCCGCAACGAGCGCAACCCUUGUCCUUAGUUGCUACGCAAGAGCACUCUAAGGAGACUGCCGGUGACAAACCGGAGGAAGGUGGGGAUGACGUCAAGUCCUCAUGGCCCUUAUGGGUAGGGCUUCACACGUCAUACAAUGGUCGGAACAGAGGGUUGCCAACCCGCGAGGGGGAGCUAAUCCCAGAAAACCGAUCGUAGUCCGGAUUGCACUCUGCAACUCGAGUGCAUGAAGCUGGAAUCGCUAGUAAUCGCGGAUCAGCAUGCCGCGGUGAAUACGUUCCCGGGUCUUGUACACACCGCC